CCCAGGCCCUGAGAACUUCUUCAUAGGCUGUCACACCCUGUGCAGGACUCAGACCCAGUCAGGACACAGCAUGGACAUGAGGGUCCCCGCUCAGCUCCUGGGCCUCCUGCUGCUCUGGCUGCCAGGUGCCAGAUGUGACACCCAGAUGACCCAGUCCCCAUCCUCCUUAUCCGCAUCCAUAGGAGGCACAGUCACCAUCAGUUGUAGGGAGAGUGAGGAUGUUAUCCAGUGGUUAUCCUGGUAUCAGCAGGAACCAGGGAAAGCUCUUAAACCUCUGAUCUAUGAUGCAACUAAUUUGCAAUCUGGGGUUCCAUCCAGGUUCAGCGGCAGUGGGUCUGGGACAGGUUAUUCUCUCACCAUCGGUAGCACGCAUGCUGAAGAUGUUGCAACUUACUACUGUCUGCAGAGUCGGAGUAAACCUCACACAGUGAUACAAGCUAUAACAAGAAUUCCCAGGGAAGCAGAAGUGUGA